AUGGACGGGAGCGGUACCAGCGAUGGCGGGGACGGCGGCUGGUCGCUGCGGCCGAUGGACGCGGAGCAGCUGCGGGAGUGUGGGCACCGGAUGGUGGAUUUCAUCGCGGAUUACUACAAAUCCAUCGAGUCAUUUCCCGUCCUCAGCCAAGUCCAGCCAGGAUAUCUGAAGGAACUUCUUCCAGAUUCAGCUCCUAACCGACCUGAUACUUUGGAUGCCCUUUUUGACGAUAUUCGUGAGAAGAUAAUACCUGGAGUAACUCAUUGGCAAAGUCCAAGUUAUUUUGCAUACUAUCCCUCAAAUAGCAGCACUGCUGGAUUCCUGGGGGAGAUGCUUAGUGCUGCCUUUAACAUCGUUGGCUUCAGUUGGAUAACCUCUCCUGCUGCAACUGAGCUAGAGGUUAUAGUCUUAGACUGGUUUGCAAAAAUGCUUAAGCUUCCAAGCCAAUUUCUGUCAGAUGCGCCUGGUGGAGGAGUAAUCCAGGGUACUGCCAGUGAAGCAGUUCUUGUUGUACUAUUGGCUGCACGAGAUAGAACUUUAAAGAAGCAUGGGAAAAAGUCCCUUGAAAAGUUAGUAGUUUAUGCAUCUGAUCAGACACAUUCUGCUCUGCAAAAGGCAUGCCAGAUUGCAGGAAUUUUCCCAGAGAACUUCAGAGUUGUCAAAGCUGACUGUAGUAAGAACUAUGCUGUUGCACCUGAAGCAGUGACAGAGGCCAUUUCCAUUGACUUGUCAUCUGGUUUGAUACCAUUCUUCAUCUGUGCAACAGUAGGCACAACAUCUUCAUCGGCCGUGGACCCCUUGCCUGAACUAGGAAACAUAGCACAGGGCCAUGACAUGUGGUUCCACAUUGAUGCUGCAUAUGCUGGAAGUGCUUGUAUAUGCCCAGAGUAUCGACAUCACCUUGAUGGAGUGGAAAAAGCUGAUUCAUUCAAUAUGAAUGCACACAAAUGGUUCCUCACAAACUUCGACUGUUCUUUGCUAUGGGUUAAGGACAGGAGUUAUCUUGUGGAAGCAUUGUCUACAAAUCCAGAGUUUCUUAAGAAUAAGGCUUCCCAAGCAAAUUCUGUUGUUGAUUUCAAGGAUUGGCAAAUUCCACUUGGUCGUCGUUUUAGAUCACUCAAGCUAUGGAUGGUCUCGAGGCUUUAUGGCGUGGAAAAUCUGCAGAGUUAUAUCAGAAAGCACAUACAGUUGGCUGAACAUUUUGAACAACUUGUACUAUCUGACUCAAGAUUUGAGGUUGUGACUCCGAGACUUUUUUCCCUUGUUUGUUUCCGCCUUCUGCCCCCAACUUCUGAGGAUGAGGGUGGUCGUCAACUUAACUAUGACCUAAUGGAUGCCGCUAACUCAAGUGGGAAGAUCUUCAUCUCACAUACGGUUCUUGCUGGCAAGUUUGUCUUGAGAUUUGCGGUUGGAGCACCGCUGACAGAGGAGCAACAUGUGGAUGCCGCUUGGAAGCUCUUGCAAGAUGAGGCCACCAAGCUCUCAGGAAGUGCGUAG
rnacentral:rRNA from 1 species